GCCCCUAUAGCUUAACGGAUAAAGCACAGCCCUCCGGAGGUUGGGAUCUCCGUUCGAUUCGGAGUAGGGGCA
rnacentral:tRNA from 1 species